GGUGUUGCUAUUUUGAAAACCUACAUGGAUGCCAUGAUCAAGCAGAAAGUAGAGGGAGAUCUUACAGAACUACAGACAGCAAUCGAAGAACAGAUUAAAGAUGCGUUUGAGAAUGUGAAAGAAUAUAUCAAUAUGAAAAUCGAAACUGUCCAGAGGGAGACUGUGGCCCACAUCGAUUCAUCUGUGAGUAAAUGAUAAAUGUGACUUCUAUUAAAUCAUGUCAACUCUUUCUGUAGGAAUUCGUCAGUAAAAUGCUUUCUUUUCAAUUGCUACGCAGAUGAGUACCAUGUGGGAAAAUGUCGAGAGAGAAAUAAAUCAGAAUAUCAAAAGUGUGCAUGCUGCUCCUCCCUGCCCUCCUGUGACGGAUGAGAAUUUUGAUGUCUCGGCGGAUAUUUCUGUUGUCGAAUCUGGUGGGGAGGAAGAUGGCGAACCAUUAGAUUUCAAAGACAUUGAGGCAAAAAUUGAGGUAAGCCAAUAGCUUCUACUGAAGCCUAAUAAGCUUGAUAUCUGAUCCAUUCCUAUCACAUCAAUAAGUAUAGUUAUAGUCAAGAGCAAACCAUAUGCAAAGUUAAUUCUUUGUUUGUUAAUAUUGCAGACUAAAUUUUGGGGCAAAACGUUUAAUAAACAGGAGGAACCUAAAAGACAAGAGGAACCUAUUUCUGACGAUGACCUAGUGGAAUCUCCUUCUAAGAAGCCGAAACCAGUAAGAGCAAGGAAAACACCAGUUAAGAAUAAGCCUAAAAGUAGUUCGAAACAGGGAAACACUGGUCCAGGUCGGCCUAAAGGCUCCACCAACAAGACGGUCAAGAAGGAUGACUUGACUGACCAAUAUAAGAACCUACUUGAAGAACAUAAAAAACUAGCCGCAGAGUUAGAAAAACUCAAGAAGAGCAAGUAGUGCCUAAUUUGCUUUAAAAAUUUGUUGUUGGUGAGUCUACAUUGGCAAAUGAUUCCACUUCCAUUGCACUGUAGAUGUGUCAUUCAAUUUUCCUGCAAUGUAAGUAGUGUUGGGCGCUUGUCAUGUUAUUUAAUUAUAUUUGUUCUACUAUCAUUCUAUUCC